AUUGAACGCUGGCGGCAGGCCUAACACAUGCAAGUCGAGCGGAUGAAGGGAGCUUGCUCCUGGAUUCAGCGGCGGACGGGUGAGUAAUGCCUAGGAAUCUGCCUGGUAGUGGGGGAUAACGUCCGGAAACGGGCGCUAAUACCGCAUACGUCCUGAGGGAGAAAGUGGGGGAUCUUCGGACCUAAGGCUACCAGAUAAGCCUAGGUCGGAUUAGCUAGUUGGUGGGGUAAAGGCCUACCAAGGCGACGAUCCGUAACUGGUCUGAGAGGAUGAUCAGUCACACUGGAACUGAGACACGGUCCAGACUCCUACGGGAGGCAGCAGUGGGGAAUAUUGGACAAUGGGCGAAAGCCUGAUCCAGCCAUGCCGCGCGUGUGAAGAAGGUCUUCGGAUUGUAAAGCACUUUAAGUUGGGAGGAAGGGCAGUAAGUUAAUACCUUGCUGUUUUGACGUUACCAACAGAAUAAGCACCGGCUAACUUCGUG
rnacentral:rRNA from 1 species